GCGGCCAAGACAAGCGGCCACGGCUCCCUGACGACCUGAAUGUGAUUUAGAGGGCCCUGAAGCAUCUACAACGGCACAUGAAAUUGAAGCCCACCCUCCAAACCUCUUCACUCCCGCCGGCCCCCAGCCCACCACCUCCCUUUCUUCCCAGAAGAAACCACAACUCAGAAUUUGGUAUUUAUCCAUCUCAUACCACGUUUUUGUUCCCUUGCUAUGGGCAUAUGUAACCAUCAAAGCCUACAGUGCUGCUCUGUGUGUUUUUAAACUCUGUGAAUGAUACCAAGCAGAAAAUCUGCUCAGAAGCUCUGUGCUGACUGGGAGGGGCUGGAAGUAGGCAUACGCCAAAGGCUUGGGGCCAGGCAAGGCUGGGAGCCCACGGCACUGGCCCUUAGCAAAGCCACAGACCCUUUCUGCUCCUUGCCACCCACCCUUCCACCCCGCCCCAUGCCCCCAGUCACGAGGACCCACUGGGCUUGCAGCUGGUCAGCUUGUGCUUUAGUGGGGGAAGAGCCUCUCCAAGGGUGGGGUGGCCAGCUGGCCUAGAAGUGUAGGUCUGGGGGCGGGGGGAGCCUGGGUGAGCCUAGCAGUGUAGGUCGCGGGAAGGCGGGGAGCCUGGGUGUAAAGUGCUGCUUUCAGCUGCACCAGGGCCUCCAGGAACGGCAGCUCCAUGACAGACCCCAGCCUUAAAGUGGGGACGGGUGGGACACACAGUUUUUGACAAAUGAGGUUAAUCGAG
rnacentral:lncRNA from 10 species